ACAAGCGGUGGAGUAUGUGGUUUAAUUCGAUGCAACGCGAAGAACCUUACCUGGUCUUGACAUCCCGGAGACCCUUAGGAACUAGGGGUGCUUCCAUCUGGAAGAAUCUGGAGACAGGUGCUGCAUGGCUGUCGUCAGCUCGUGUCGUGAGAUGUUGGGUUAAGUCCCGCAACGAGCGCAACCCUUGCCUUUAGUUGCCAGCAGUUCGGCUGGGCACUCUAAAGGGACUGCCGGUGUUAAACCGGAGGAAGGUGGGGAUGACGUCAAGUCCUCAUGGCCUUUAUGACCAGGGCUACACACGUACUACAAUGGCCGAUACAAAGGGCAGCGACACUGCGAGGUGAAGCCAAUCCCGUAAAAUCGGUCUCAGUCCGGAUUGGAGUCUGCAACUCGACUCCAUGAAGUUGGAAUCGCUAGUACUCGUGGAUCAGCAUGCCACGGUGAAUACGUUCCCGGGCCUU
rnacentral:rRNA from 1 species